AUGGGCCGCGGAUCAUCUUCCGCUCCAGAAUGGGAGACGGACUGGGCUGACGCCGUUAGUGCCGCUAUUCCCGCUGCUUGCCUUCCAUCUGCUCAGCCACCGCCACCGCCCCCGCCCUGUCCUCCACCACGUACUGUAAAAAAGCCAAAAAGAAAAUCGCCAACCUUUUUAAUUUCUUCUCGUACUCCCAUGAUCAGCACGAAGAUGAGCGGGCGACGGAUCCACGUGGGCGAGGAGGUGUCGCUGAUAGUCAGGGCGUGCCGGCUGGGAUUCGGGAGCAGAUCCUCGAGGCGACCUAACCGCUGGCCGCUGCGGUGCCUCAUCGGCUAG
rnacentral:rRNA from 1 species